AUUGAACGCUGGCGGCAUGCUUUACACAUGCAAGUCGAACGGUAACAGGCCGCAAGGUGCUGACGAGUGGCGAACGGGUGAGUAAUGCAUCGGAACGUGCCCAGUCGUGGGGGAUAACUACUCGAAAGAGUAGCUAAUACCGCAUACGAUCUAUGGAUGAAAGCGGGGGACCGUAAGGCCUCGCGCGAUUGGAGCGGCCGAUGUCCGAUUAGGUAGUUGGUGGGGUAAAGGCUCACCAAGCCAACGAUCUGUAGCUGGUCUGAGAGGACAACCAGCCACACUGGGACUGAGACACUGCCCCGACUCCUACGGGAGGCAGCAGUGGGGAAUUUUGGACAAUGGGCGCAAGCCUGAUCCAGCAAUGCCGCGUGCAGGAAGAAGGCCUUCGGGUUGUAAACUGCUUUUGUACGGAACGAAACGGCUCUGGUUAAUACCCGGGGCUAAUGACGGUACCGUAAGAAUAAGCACCGGCUAACUACGUG
rnacentral:rRNA from 1 species